rnacentral:hammerhead_ribozyme from 1 species
AUUCAGCUGACGAGUCCCAAAUAGGACGAAACAUGUGACCUGGAU